ensembl:snRNA U6 U6 spliceosomal RNA
GUGCUCGCUUCCAGAGCACAUAUACUCAAAUUGGAACGAUAUAAAGAAGAUCAGUGUGGCCCCGGAGCAAGGAUGACAUGCAAAGUCGUGAAGUGUUCGUGUUUUAA